rnacentral:lncRNA from 1 species
AGGGAUGGUAUUUUUGGCACUCAUACCAGACGGGGUAUGGCGACGGCCGGUUAGUUGAUAAUGUUGAAUAGUUCAACGCAGUGGGAGACAACUCUAUGGACCCCCAUGGAUACCAGUAGGCAGAUAAAAAGGGAAAGUUGUUGUUCUGAAUAAUUGAAUAUGAGAUUAUGAUAUUGUUUGUGUUAUUGCCUCUAUAGAUCAGUUUUUAGAAAUUUCGCUAUUGUAAGUGUACAAUAAAUGAUUUUAUUUAUGAUAAAUGAAUUUACUUAAAUUAAGAGCUCCAUUAGUUGUUUUCAUGUUAUUCUUACUGGGUUAGUGUAUCUAAUUCUUUCAUUAACCAUUUCAGAUCAAGAGAACCAAGAUCCCAGAUCCCGAUCCACAAAAGUAUUGUAAAUAAGAUGUCCCAGUUAUUUACUUUCCAUUUAUUUCUUUGA